rnacentral:tRNA from 1 species
GGCCUGGUGGUCUAGUGGUAUGAUUGUCGCUUCGGGAGUUUGUGCCUGGAUUCGUAGAAUCCGAGAUUGUGACAGGCCCCGGGUUCGAAUCCCGGCCAGGCCC